rnacentral:rRNA from 1 species
AUUGAACGCUGGCGGCAGGCCUAACACAUGCAAGUCGAGCGGAUGAGGGAAGCUUGCUUCCCGAUUUAGCGGCGGACGGGUGAGUAAUGCCUAGGAAUCUGCCUAUUAGUGGGGGAUAACGUUCCGAAAGGAACGCUAAUACCGCAUACGUCCUACGGGAGAAAGUGGGGGAUCUUCGGACUUCACGCUAAUAGAUGAGCCUAGGUCGGAUUAGCUAGUUGGUGGGGUAACGGCUCACCAAGGCGACGAUCCGUAGCUGGUCUGAGAGGAUGAUCAGUCCAAAUGGAACGUGGGCAAGGCCCAAGCUCCUACGGGAGGCGGCAGUGGGGAUAAGUGGAAAAUGGGCGAAAGCCUGAUACAGACAUGCCGCGUGUGUGAAGAAGGUCUUCGGAUUGUAAAGCACGUUAAGUUGGGAGGAAGGGUUGUAAGCUAAUAUCUUGCAGCUUUGACGUUACCAACAGAAUAAGCACCGGCUAACUCUGAGCCAGCCGCCGCGGUAACAC